rnacentral:lncRNA from 1 species
GUUGUCUUGGGCUGGAAAUUUGUUUCACUCUCUCUUUUUGUGGGUCCUGCUGCUUCAGAGUUUGUGUAGAGCCAGUUUUUAUGAGUAUUUGGAGGGGUUUGGGGAGAGCUCAAGCAAGUCACUGCUUUCACUCCGCCAUCUUGGCUCCGCCCAUCUAUGCUCCCUUACUAUACGGCAGCCAGUGGGUGCCUUGUGGGCCUAUUCAACACGCCCACUGGGAAGCUGCAGAAGCAGUUGUACAGAGAGGAGGAGUACGAGGCCUUCAAGUACGCCCCCAUGUUCGAGAGCGACUUCAUCCAGAUCACCAAGAGAGGGGAAGUGAUUGACCUAGCCUGUCCCUUACCAGAACAGCAUUUCAACCUCCUGGUUUUGAACUUGGAUGAGCUCUAACCGUUCAGAUCAGAAACCGUCCUGCAACACAUGCAGCCAACAUGGUCUUCAAAAAGUCACUUAGAGAAUAACUGGACUUAGAUCAAGGAGGGCUCGAAACCCAUGGACUUCUGAAGAGAACCCCCAUUUCCAUCUCUCACCGGGAAAAUGAGGUGUCACCUCCAAGCAGAGCCUGCACCCCCAGUGUAAAAAAGUCAUAAGGAGGCCACUCAAAGUCUCAGGCAGCCAGUGCAGUUGAGGAAGAAUUGAUGAGAACUUGGGGGUCGGAGAAGGAGUAGUAAGAAGGAGGGAGGACUGUGGAACAUACUUCCCACGGUGGGGAGACUACAGGCUACUCCCCUUGAAGUUUGUGAAGAUUUCUGUCCAUGAGGGUGAGAAGCAGCGUCUUCGGCUGAAACUGGUCAUCGGCAGUCAUUCUACUCACAACUCUGUCCACCCUCCGAUGUCAGGGAGGACCUCUUGUCCUACUGGGAGAAGCUCAUCUAUCUCCUUUGGCCACUUGUGGAGGGCUACAGCAGCCGCCACGCCACCCGUGUUGCGGAUGGCGUCGAGGUGCCUGUUUUCAUUGCAGAAGAUAAAUCUCCUGUGAGUCUAGCCACACAGAAGCACCCAAUAUGGGCCUUGCCUGGCCUGCCUCUCAUGUCCUCUUUAGAGCACUCCAUCAUAUUCUCUAAUCACCUAUGCUAGAAAAGAGGAGUAAAGGGGAAAUGAUGAAUGAUUUGAUAAGUGUUCUUGCCCCAGCCCUUUCAGGAGUGACAGUGUGUGGAAGUAACACAUCCAGCUUCCUGCUUAGGCCUUUGUCCUAGGGUGGACAGGGUAGCAGGAAUGACUUGAUUGCCAAGCCCAAACCUGAUGAGGGAGAGAGGGGGGAGGGAGUUGCCAAAGAUAUGCCUUCUUUUGGGAAUCAGGUCCCCACCCCCACCCCACCCCACCCUA